rnacentral:rRNA from 1 species
GGGUUGUGAGGUUAAGCGACUAAGCGUACACGGUGGAUGCCCUGGCAGUCAGAGGCGAUGAAGGGCGUGCUAAUCUGCGAUAAGCGCCGGUAAGGUGAUAUGAACCGUUAUAACCGGCGAUACCCGAAUGGGGAAACCCAGUGUGAUUCGUCACACUAUCAUUAACUGAAUCCAUAGGUUAAUGAGGCGAACCGGGGGAACUGAAACAUCUAAGUACCCCGAGGAAAAGAAAUCAACCGAGAUUCCCCCAGUAGCGGCGAGCGAACGGGGAGGAGCCCAGAGCCUGAAUCAGCAUGUGUGUUAGUGGAAGCGUCUGGAAAGACGCGCGAUACAGGGUGACAGCCCCGUACACAAAAGCGUAUGUGCUGUGAGCUCGAUGAGUAGGGCGGGACACGUGGUAUCCUGUCUGAAUAUGGGGGGACCAUCCUCCAAGGCUAAAUACUCCUGACUGACCGAUAGUGAACCAGUACCGUGAGGGAAAGGCGAAAAGAACCCCGGCGAGGGGAGUGAAAAAGAACCUGAAACCGUGUACGUACAAGCAGUGGGAGCACAGGUUUACCUGUGUGACUGCGUACCUUUUGUAUAAUGGGUCAGCGACUUAUAUUCUGUAGCAAGGUUAACCGAAUAGGGGAGCCGGAGGGAAACCGAGUCUUAAUUGGGCGUUAAGUUGCAGGGUAUAGACCCGAAACCCGGUGAUCUAGCCAUGGGCAGGUUGAAGGUUGGGUAACACUAACUGGAGGACCGAACCGACUAAUGUUGAAAAAUUAGCGGAUGACCUGUGGCUGGGGGUGAAAGGCCAAUCAAACCGGGAGAUAGCUGGUUCUCCCCGAAAGCUAUUUAGGUAGCGCCUCGUGAAUUCAUCUCCGGGGGUAGAGCACUGUUUCGGCUAGGGGGUCAUCCCGACUUACCAACCCGAUGCAAACUGCGAAUACCGGAGAAUGUUAUCACGGGAGACACACGGCGGGUGCUAACGUCCGUCGUGAAGAGGGAAACAACCCAGACCGCCAGCUAAGGUCCCAAAGUCAUGGUUAAGUGGGAAACGAUGUGGGAAGGCCCAGACAGCCAGGAUGUUGGCUUAGAAGCAGCCAUCAUUUAAAGAAAGCGUAAUAGCUCACUGGUCGAGUCGGCCUGCGCGGAAGAUGUAACGGGGCUAAACCAUGCACCGAAGCUGCGGCAGCGAACGUAUCACUUAAAGCGAUUCAGCGGGUUACGAUUGACGGAGCGAAGCGACGUCAAAGCGUAUACAAAGUCGAGUCGGUUUAAGGAUACGUUCGUUGGGUAGGGGAGCGUUCUGUAAGCCUG